rnacentral:rRNA from 1 species
CUUGACAAAUACGACCAACGGGCCAGAAAUGGUUAAUCUUUGGAGAAUCGUAAACAGGUGGUGCCUGGUUGUCGUCAGCUCGUGUCGUGAGAUGUUGGGUUAAGUCCCGCAACGAGCGCAACCCUCGUUCUAUGUUGCCAGCACGUAAUGGUGGGAACUCAUGGGAUACUGCCGGGGUCAACUCGGAGGAAGGUGGGGAUGACGUCAAAUCAUCAUGCCCCUUAUGUCUUGGGCUUCACGCAUGCUACAAUGGCCGGUACAAAGGGCUGCAAUACCGUGAGGUGGAGCGAAUCCCAAAAAGCCGGUCCCAGUUCGGAUUGAGGUCUGCAACUCGACCUCAUGAAGUCGGAGUCGCUAGUAAUCGCAGAUCAGCAACGCUGCGGUGAAUACGUUCCCGGGUCUUGUACACACCG